GCUGCUGGGGAACACAGAUGACUCAGACCUGGCCUCUGCCUUCAAGGAACUUCCUUCCUGUCGGGCAGUAAGACUCACCAGCCACUUCCACACACAUCAUCCAUGCCAAGGAGGUCUGAGCAGAGCGUCCGGAGUGGACUGAGAAGAUAACUCAUUAGCCCUGGGGCGUGGGCGUUUCUCAGAGGAAGAGGCGGCUACCAGGGUCUUCAGAAAAAGCCAGAUAGGGAAAGCAGGAAGAAACCUGUCCAGCUGCGUCCAACUCUUUUCGACCCCGUGGACUGCAACACGCCAGGCUUCCCUGUUCUUCAUCAUCUCCUGGAGUUUGCUCAGACUCAUGUCCAUUGAGUCAGUGAUGCCAUCCAACCAUCUUAUCAUCUGUCUCCCCCUUCUCCUGCCCUCAAUCCUUCCCAGCAUCAUGAUGUUUUUCCAAUGAGUCAGCUCUUCACAUCAGGUGGCCAAAGUAUUGGAGCUUCAUCUUCAGCAACAGUCCUUUCAAUAAAUAUUCAGGAUUGAUUUCCUGUA